GUCGUGAUUCCACGGCCGUGUACUCGGUGUUUUCCGUCAACGGAUUACCCUCGAAGUUUAAUUGACCAUUGACUAGUCCUACCACGAGGACCAACAAGAUCGUUGCCAACAGGUUCAUGAUUCUGGAAUUAAUGCAAAAUUCGUAUGAAUAACAAAAACUUUUAGAAGGAGUUUAUUGAUUAAUAAUUUCAAGUAAUUAAUUAAUUUCAAUAAUUGUAAUUAACUUGACUAACGAACAGAAAAAAAAAUUAAUACUUGGAAGCGUUUUGUCGUUUUAUCAUUCUAUCGCUGGCCAACGAAAAGAAAGGAACGAGUUAUAAAAAUUUUAAUUUUAUUAUUUAUAUUCCAUAUAAAUAUAUAUUUGUUACGAUAAUUAAUCAUUGAGCUAAUCUUAGAAUUAAUAUUAUAUAAUAUUUCAUUUUGCAGUUUAAUUGAAAUAUAUGGAAAAGUAGAUCGAUUGUACAUUCAUCGAUGAAUCGAUCGACAUGGGUUAAAGACCAGCGUAACACUUUCUUCGGUCAAGGUGAACAUAAUCACGCUGAUAUGAAACACGUUUUCAUUAAUCGCUUCCCGAUAAAGAUAUUUCUUUUGUCACGUCAUUAAAAUUAUAUAUCUACUAUUCUUUUUUAUUUAUCAUGGAAGUCUUAUUGCUUCAAAAUCGUAAAUCUUUCAUAAGAAAGAGAAUCGUAAAUAAAUCUAUAAAACAUUUCUAUUUGAAUUUCAUGAAAUAAACCGGUGAAUUAUGAAUCGAGACAUUACCAGAAGACAUAGAUCACAUAUCACAUAUCUAUUAUACAUAAACUAUGAUUUUUGAAAUUACAUUUUUGA